GACUGGUUAGCUCAGUCAGUUGAGCAUGGUGCUGAGAAUGCCAAGGUCAUGGGUUCGAUUCCCGCUCGGUCC
rnacentral:tRNA from 1 species